AACGAACGCUGGCGGCAUGCCUAACACAUGCAAGUCGAACGAGACCUUCGGGUCUAGUGGCGCACGGGUGCGUAACGCGUGGGAACCUGCCCUUAGGUUCGGAAUAACUCCCCGAAAGGGGUGCUAAUACCGGAUAAUGUCUUCGGACCAAAGAUUUAUCGCCUUUGGAUGGGCCCGCGUUGGAUUAGCUAGUUGGUAGGGUAAAAGCCUACCAAGGCGACGAUCCAUAGCUGGUCUGAGAGGAUGAUCAGCCACACUGGGACUGAGACACGGCCCAGACUCCUACGAGAGGCAGAAGUGGGAAAUAGUGGACAAUGGGCGAAAGCCUGAUCCAGCGAUGCCGAGUGAGUGAUGAAGGCCUAAGGGUUGUAAAGCUCUUUUACCCGGGAUGAUAAUGACAGUACCGGGAGAAUAAGCUCCGGCUAACUCCG
rnacentral:rRNA from 1 species